AUUGAACGCUGGCGGCAGGCUUAACACAUGCAAGUCGAGCGGAGAUGAGGUGCUUGCACCUUAUCUUAGCGGCGGACGGGUGAGUAACGCUUAGGAAUCUGCCUAUUAGUGGGGGACAACAUUCCGAAAGGAAUGCUAAUACCGCAUACGUCCUACGGGAGAAAGCAGGGGCUCUUCGGACCUUGCGCUAAUAGAUGAGCCUAAGUCGGAUUAGCUAGUUGGUGGGGUAAAGGCCUACCAAGGCGACGAGCUGUAGCGGGUCUGAGAGGAUGAUCCGCCACACUGGGACUGGGACACGGGCCAGACUCCUACGGGAGGCAGCAGUGGGGAAUAUUGGACAAUGGGGGGAACCCUGAUCCAGCCAUGCCGCGUGUGUGAAGAAGGCCUUAUGGUUGUAAAGCACUUUAAGCGAGGAGGAGGCUACUGAGACUAAUACUCUUGGAUAGUGGACGUUACUCGCAGAAUAAGCACCGGCUAACUCUGUGCCAGCCGCCGCCGUAA
rnacentral:rRNA from 1 species